rnacentral:tRNA from 1 species
GGGCCUGUAGCUCAGUUGGUCAGAGCGAUCGACUCAUAAUCGAUUGGUCGUAGGUUCAAGUCCUACCAGGCCCA